rnacentral:lncRNA from 1 species
UGACCCCAGGGCGCUAUCGAUUCUUGUGGCCUAGUCGCCAUACACCUGCCCCUUAAGGCCUUAAAACCACCCCACCAGCAUAACCUCUUAGGGCGUUCCAACGCGGCGCCCCCUU